GCGAUCCCAGGUCAGGCGGGGCUACCCGCUGAGUUUAAGCAUAUCAAUAAGCGGAGGAAAAGAAACUAACGAGGAUUCCCUUAGUAGCGGCGAGCGAACCGGGAAGAGCCCAGCGUGAAAAUCGUCCG
rnacentral:rRNA from 1 species